GCAAGACAUGGGAACGGUGAGAGACUUGGGGACACUGAGACAUUGGGGCACUGGGGAAUAUGGGGACCCUGAGACACUAUGGGCACAGUGACCCCAUGUCUCCCAGUUGCCCCUAGUGUCUCAGUGUCCCCAUGUCUCCCAGUGUCCACAUGUCUCU